GCUGGGAGCUUGGCGCAUGCCUGUAGUCCCAGCUACUUGGGAGGCUGAGGCUGGAGGAUCGCCAGAGUCCAGGAGUUCUGGGCUGUAGUGCACUAUGCCGAUCAGGUGACCACACUAAGUUUGGCAUCAUUAUGGCGACCUGCCGGGAGCUGGGGACCAUCAGGUUGCCUAAGGAGGGCUGGGAACCUUCCGGCCCAGGUCGGAAACAGAGCAGGUCAGAACUCUGGUGCUGAUGAGUAGCGGGAUCUGCCUGUGAAUAUCCACUGCACUCCAGCCUGGGCAACAUAGCGAGACCCCAUCUCU
rnacentral:SRP_RNA from 1 species